UAAGUUCAGACAAGUUUUUCGAAAAAGUGAAUUAAGUGAUGUUGUAUCUAAUAAGCAACAGAAAAUGGCAUUUGAUCCAUUGCUAAUGUAAAAGAUCAUUGUUUUUCAAAUUUAUAGACAGAGAUAUGCUUUUCCAUGAUGUCAUAUUUGCUGCUGUCUUCUUUGCUUUUUACUCCUCAGGAAAGGCUCACACUCAAAACUGGGUAAAGCAGUGGCCAGGUGAGGUGUACAGCACACCCGGAGAAAACAUCACCAUACACUGCCAGACUCAAGGAGACAUUCAGGAAGCUAAGUGUUUAGUAAACUGGUACAUCAAGAACAGACAUGGGAAAUAUGUCAGCAUCAACAAACUCACUCAGUUUAGCGGGAGACAUUCUGAAGACAAAAAAGAAAGCCACUGGCGCCAGAGCUUUACCCUGACGUCCCUAGAGCUCAAUGACACUGGCAGAUUCUACUGUAAUUACUUGUGCAGAAUUAAUGGCACACAUGAGCAGUACUAUGGGACUGGGACUCGACUGUUUGUACAUUUUAGGACUGAGAAUGUGACUAAGGGCAGCCCACUGUGUACCUUCAAUAAGACAGGUGAAGUGGAGGGUGAAUCCAGAGUAUACUUGUUUUUCCUAUUUCUUGUUUUAAUUGUUUUAUUGUCUAAAGUUGUUGUAUUUAUAUUUAUGACUUUGGUUGCACUUUUUUCUCCUCAUUAA
ensembl:lncRNA